rnacentral:rRNA from 1 species
UACGAAGGGGGCUAGCGUUGCUCGGAAUCACUGGGCGUAAAGCGCACGUAGGCGGACUCUUAAGUCGGUGGUGAAAUCCUGGAGCUCAACUCCAGAACUGCCAAGUGAUACUGCUGUGCUCGAGUGUGGAAGGGGCAAUCGGAAUUCUUGGUGUAGCGGUGAAAUGCGUAGAUAUCAAGAGGAACACCUGAGGUGAAGACGGGUUGCUGGGCCAACACUGACGCUGAGGCGCGAAGCCAGGGAGCAAACGGG